GGGUCAGUAGGUUGGUCGUGCCACCGGUACGUACUGGUCUCACUGAUUCCUCCUUCCUGAAGAACCGUAAUGCCAUUAAUUUGGUGUUGCGGGGAAACAGGACUGUUACUUUGAAAAAAUUAGAGUGUUUAAAGCAAGCUAACGCUAGAAUACAUUAGCAUGGAAUAAUGAAAUAGGACGAUCGAUCCUAUUUUGUUGAUUUCUAGGAUUGACGUA
rnacentral:rRNA from 1 species